CCUACGGGAGGCAGCAGUGGGGAAUAUUGCACAAUGGGCGAAAGCCUGAUGCAGCGACGCCGCGUGAGGGAUGACGGCCUUCGGGUUGUAAACCUCUUUCAGCAGGGAAGAAGCGAAAGUGACGGUACCUGCAGAAGAAGCGCCGGCUAACUACGUGCCAGCAGCCGCGGUAAUACGUAGGGCGCAAGCGUUGUCCGGAAUUAUUGGGCGUAAAGAGCUCGUAGGCGGCUUGUCACGUCGGAUGUGAAAGCCCGAGGCUUAACCUCGGGUCUGCAUUCGAUACGGGCUAGCUAGAGUGUGGUAGGGGAGAUCGGAAUUCCUGGUGUAGCGGUGAAAUGCGCAGAUAUCAGGAGGAACACCGGUGGCGAAGGCGGAUCUCUGGGCCAUUACUGACGCUGAGGAGCGAAAGCGUGGGGAGCGAACAGGAUUAGAUACCCUGGUAGUCCACGCCGUAAACGUUGGGAACUAGGUGUUGGCGACAUUCCACGUCGUCGGUGCCGCNGCUACGCAUAGUUCCGCCGUGGAGACGGCGCGAGACGAACUAACUAAUAGAGUUAGUAGCGUUGAGACGNGCCGACGGACGACGACGAGGGAGAGG
rnacentral:rRNA from 1 species